rnacentral:rRNA from 1 species
CAGUAGCCGCGGUAAUACAGAGGGUGCGAGCGUUAAUCGGAUUUACUGGGCGUAAAGCGUGCGUAGGCGGCUUUUUAAGUCAGGGGUGAAAUCCCGAGGCUCAACCUCGGAACGGCCUUUGAUACUGGGGAUCUUGAGUCCGGAAGAGGUGAGUGGAACUGCGAGUGUAGAGGUGAAAUUCGUAGAUAUUCGCAAGAACACCGGUGGCGAAGGCGGCUCACUGGUCCGGAACUGACGCUGAGGCACGACAGCGUGGGGAGCAAACAGGAUUAGAUACCCCUGUAGUCCCUGUCUCUUAUAC